UUUAACAAAAACAUGUCUGUAUGAUUGUUAUAUAGAGUCUGGCCUGCCCACUGAUUUAUUAAAGGGCCGCGGUAUCUUGACCGUGCGAAGGUAGCAUAAUCAUUAGUCUUUUAAUUGAAGGCUUGUAUGAAUGGUUGGACAAAAAGUUAACUGUCUCAAUUAUAAAAAUUGAAUUUAACUUUUAAGUGAAAAGGCUUAAAUAUACUGAGGGGACGAUAAGACCCUAUAAAGCUUUACAAUAAUUUAAUUAAAUUAUAAAUUAUAAGUUUAACUUAAUUUAAUUAGUAUUUGUUUCGUUGGGGCGACGAGAAUAUAAU
rnacentral:rRNA from 1 species